rnacentral:rRNA from 1 species
CUGAGGAGCGAAAGCGUGGGGAGCGAACAGGAUUAGAUACCCUGGUAGUCCACGCCGUAAACGGUGGGAACUAGGUGUUGGCGACAUUCCACGUCGUCGGUGCCGCAGCUAACGCAUUAAGUUCCCCGCCUGGGGAGUACGGCCGCAAGGCUAAAACUCAAAGGAAUUGACGGGGGCCCGCACAAGCGGCGGAGCAUGUGGCUUAAUUCGAAGCAACGCGAAGAACCUUACCAGGUCUUGACAUCCUCUGACACUCCUAGAGAUAGGACGUUCCCCUUCGGGGGACAGAGUGACAGGUGGUGCAUGGUUGUCGUCAGCUCGUGUCGUGAGAUGUUGGGUUAAGUCCCGCAACGAGCGCAACCCUUGUUCUUAGUUGCCAGCAUUCAGUUGGGCACUCUAAGGAGACUGCCGGUGACAAACCGGAGGAAGGUGGGGAUGACGUCAAAUCAUCAUGCCCCUUAUGACCUGGGCUACACACGUGCUACAAUGGAUGGUACAAAGGGCAGCAAAGCCGCGAGGCCUAGCCAAUCCCAUAAAACCAUUCUCAGUUCG